UCGGGAAUAUUGCGCAAUGGAGGAAACUCUGACGCAGUGACGCCGCGUAUAGGAAGAAGGUUUUCGGAUUGUAAACCUCUGUCAUCAGGGACGAAAAAGGACGGUACCUGAGAAGGAAGCUCCGGCUAACUACGUGCCAGCAGCCGCGGUAAUACGUAGGGAGCAAGCGUUAUCCGGAAUUACUGGGUGUAGAGGGAGUGUAGGCGGGACUGUAAGUCAGAUGUGAAAUAUGCCGGCUCAACUGGCAGACUGCAUUUGAAACUGUGGUUCUUGAGUGAAGUAGAGGUAAGUGGAAUUCCUGGUGUAGCGGUGAAAUGCGUAGAUAUCAGGAGGAACAUCAGUGGCGAAGGCGGCUUACUGGGCUUUAACUGACGCUGAGGCUCGAAAGCGUGGGGAGCAAACAGGAUUAGAUACCCUGGUAGU
rnacentral:rRNA from 1 species